UACGAAGGGUGCAAACGUUGCUCGGAAUCAUUGGGCGUAAAGCGCACGUAAGCGGCUUGGCAAGUCGGAUGUGAAAUCCCUCGGCUCAACCAAGGAAGUGCAUCCGAAACUGCCGAGCUUGAGUACUUAAGAGGAUCGCGGAAUUCCCGGUGUAGAGGUGAAAUUCGUAGAUAUCGGGAGGAACACCAGUGGCGAAGGCGGCGAUCUGGGAAGAUACUGACGCUGAGGUGCGAAAGCGUGGGGAGCAAACGGG
rnacentral:rRNA from 1 species